UACGUAGGCAGCAAGCGUUGUUCGGAAUUAUUGGGCGUAAAGGGUGUGUAGGCGGUGCUCCAAGUCUGGUGUGAAAUCUCCCGGCUUAACUGGGAGGGUGCAUUAGAAACUGGAAUGCUAGAGGAUGGGAGAGGUAAGCGGAAUUUCUGGUGUAGCGGUGAAAUGCGUAGAUAUCAGGAAGAACACCUGUGGUGUAGACAGCUUACUGGACCAUUUCUGACGCUGAGACACGAAAGCGUGGGUAGCAAACAGG
rnacentral:rRNA from 1 species